UACGUAGGGUGCAAGCGUUAAUCGGAAUUACUGGGCGUAAAGCGUGCGCAGGCGGUUUUGUAAGUCUGUCGUGAAAUCCCCGGGCUCAACCUGGGAAUUGCGAUGGAGACUGCAAGGCUAGAAUCUGGCAGAGGGGGGUAGAAUUCCACGUGUGAGCAGUGAAAUGCGUAGAGAUGUGGAGGAACACCGAUGGCGAAGGCAGCCCCCUGGGUCAAGAUUGACGCUCAUGCGACGAA
rnacentral:rRNA from 1 species